UACGGAGGGUGCAAGCGUUGCUCGGAAUUAUUGGGCGUAAAGGGUAUGUAGGUGGUCUCAUUUGUCUGAGGUGAAAGCCUUGAGCUUAACUCAAGAAGUGCCCCAGAAACGGUGAGACUGGAGUCCUGGAGAGGGUCGUGGAAUUCCCGGUGUAGCGGUGAAAUGCGUAGAGAUCGGGAGGAACACCAGAGGCGAAAGCGGCGACCUGGACAGGCACUGACACUCAACUACGAAAGCGUGGGGAGCAAACAGG
rnacentral:rRNA from 1 species